rnacentral:rRNA from 1 species
AUACGGAGGAUCCGAGCGUUAUCCGGAUUUAUUGGGUUUAAAGGGUGCGCAGGCGGCCAUUUAAGUCAGCGGUUAAAUCGUGGGGCUCAACCCCAUUCUGCCGUUGAUACUGGGUGGCUUGAUUGCGGUCGAGGUUGGCGGAAUUCGUUGUGUAGCGGUGAAAUGCAUAGAUAUGACGAAGAACACCGAUUGCGUAGGCAGCUGACCAGACCGCAAAUGACGCUCAUGCACGAAAGUGCUGGGAUCGAACAGGAUUAGAUACCGUGGUAUUCCGCACAGUAAACGAUGAAUACUUGUUUUCGGCGAUAUAAUGUCGGAGGCAAAGCGAAAGCGAUAAGUAUUCCACCUGGGGAGUACGCCGGCAACGGUGAAACUCAAAUGAAUUGACGGGG